rnacentral:rRNA from 1 species
UAACACAUUGGUAACUUACCUCGAAGACGGGAAUAACCCAGAGAAAUCUGGAAUAAUACCCGAUAGCCGUGGGGGGACACAAGUCAUUUCCACGUAAAGCUCCGACGCUUCGAGAGAGACCUAUGUUCUAUCAGCUUGUUGGUGAGGUAACGGCUCACCAAGGCGACGACGGAUAGCGGGUGUGAGAGCAUGGCCCGCCUCACUGGGACUGAGAUACUGCCCAGACUCCUACGGGAGGCUGCAGUCAAGAAUCUUCCUCAAUGGCCGAAAGGCUGAAGGAGCGACAUCGCGUGCAGGAGGAAGCCCUUCGGGGUGUAAACUGCUUUUCUCUGGGAAGAAACAAUGACGGUACCAGAGGAAUAAGGGGUUGCUAAACUCGUGCCAGCAGCAGCGGUAAUACGAGUACCCCGAGCGUUAUCCGGAUUUAUUGGGCGUAAAGCGUGCGCAGACGGUUUAUAACAUCUCUUGUUAAAUCCCAAGGCUCAACCUUGGGGCCGCGGGAGAUAUGGAUAAACUAGAGGCUGGAAGAGGUAAGCGGAAUUGCUGGUGUAGGGGUUAAAUCCGUUAAUAUCAGCAGGAACACCAAAAGCGAAGGCAGCUUACUGGAACAGUUCUGACGUUCAGGCACGAAAGCGUGGGGAGCGAAUGGGAUUAGAUACCCCAGUAGUCCACGCCGUAAACGAUGAAUGCUAAGCAUUGGGAGUUUCGACCCUCUCAGUGCUGUCUACCUAAGUUAACACCUUAAGCAUUCCGCCUGGGGAGUACGGCCGCAAGGCUAAAACUCAAAGGAAUAGACGGGGACCCGCACAAGCGGUGGAGCAUGUGGUUUAAUUCGACGAUAAGCGUGGAACCUCACCAAGGUUUGACAUAUAGCUGCAGACCCCUGGAAACAGGGGAGCCUUCGAGGGUGCUAUACAGAUGCUGCAUGGUUGUCGUCAGCUCGUGUCGUGAGAUGUACCGUUAAGUCGGGAAACGAGCGCAACCCCUACCCUAUGUUUUACGUGUCAUAGGGAACUGUCUGCUUUAAGCAGGAGGAAGGUGGGGAUGACGUCAAAUCAGCAUGGUUCUUACACCUUGGGCGACACACGUGCUACAAUGGGAAGUACAAAGGGACGCCAAACCGUAAGGUGGAGCAAAUCCCAAAAAACUUCCCUCAGUUCGGAU